rnacentral:rRNA from 1 species
ACGCUGGCGGCAGGCCUAACACAUGCAAGUCGAGCGGAAACGACACUAACAAUCCUUCGGGUGCGUUAAUGGGCGUCGAGCGGCGGACGGGUGAGUAAUGCCUAGGAAAUUGCCUUGAUGUGGGGGAUAACCAUUGGAAACGAUGGCUAAUACCGCAUAAUGCCUACGGGCCAAAGAGGGGGAUCUUCGGACCUCUCGCGUCAAGAUAUGCCUAGGUGGGAUUAGCUAGUUGGUGAGGUAAUGGCUCACCAAGGCGACGAUCCCUAGCUGGUCUGAGAGGAUGAUCAGCCACACUGGAACUGAGACACGGUCCAGACUCCUACGGGAGGCAGCAGUGGGGAAUAUUGCACAAUGGGCGAAAGCCUGAUGCAGCCAUGCCGCGUGUAUGAAGAAGGCCUUCGGGUUGUAAAGUACUUUCAGUUGUGAGGAAGGGKGURWSGUUAAUAGCKKYRYMUCUUGACGUUAGCAACAGAAGAAGCACCGGCUAACUCCGUGCCAGCAGCCGCGGUAAUACGGAGGGUGCGAGCGUUAAUCGGAAUUACUGGGCGUAAAGCGCAUGCAGGUGGUUCAUUAAGUCAGAUGUGAAAGCCCGGGGCUCAACCUCGGAACUGCAUUUGAAACUGGUGAACUAGAGUGCUGUAGAGGGGGGUAGAAUUUCAGGUGUAGCGGUGAAAUGCGUAGAGAUCUGAAGGAAUACCAGUGGCGAAGGCGGCCCCCUGGACA